rnacentral:tRNA from 1 species
GCCUGAGUGGCUCAGUGGUUGAGCAUCUGCCUUCGACUCAGGGCAUGAUUCUGGGUCCUGGGAUCGAGUCCCACAUCGGGCU